AAUCAACGCUGGCGGCGUGCCUCAGACAUGCAGGUCGAACGAUUAAAGCUCUCUUCGGAGAGUGUAUAGAGUGGCGCACGGGUGAGUAACACGUAAGUAAUCUACCCUCGAGUGGGGAAUAACGUCCGGAAACGGACGCUAAUACCGCAUAAUGCAGCGGCACCGCAAGGUGACAGUUGUUAAAGGAGAAAUUCGCUUGAGGAGGAGCUUGCGGCAGAUUAGCUUGUUGGUAAGGUAACGGCUUACCAAGGCUACGAUCUGUAACCGGUCUUAGAGGACGGUCGGUCACACUGACACUGAAUAACGGGUCAGACUCCUACGGGAGGCAGCAGUCGGGGAAUUUUGGGCAAUGGGCGAAAGCCUGACCCAGCAACGCCGCGUGAAGGAUGAAGUAUUUCGGUAUGU
rnacentral:rRNA from 1 species